rnacentral:lncRNA from 1 species
CGGACAUGCGGUCCUUCCUCCUGCCCACAGAUCUCCAGGUUGCUGAGCUCUAACACUGACCUGUUCACUAGGAUUUAAGAUAGUACUCGUGUAAGACCAAGGUGGUACUAACGGAAAAGUGGGCAAACAGUACUGCA